rnacentral:rRNA from 1 species
AUUGGACGCUGGCGGAAUGCUUUACACAUGCAAGUCGAACGGCAGCACGGGGCAACCUGGUGGCGAGUGGCGAACGGGUGAGUAAUAUAUCGGAACGUGCCCAAUCGUGGGGGAUAACGUAGCGAAAGUUACGCUAAUACCGCAUACGAUCUACGGAUGAAAGCGGGGGAUCGCAAGACCUCGCGCGAAUGGAGCGGCCGAUAUCAGAUUAGGUAGUUGGUGGGGUAAAGGCUCACCAAGCCAACGAUCUGUAGCUGGUCUGAGAGGACGACCAGCCACACUGGAACUGAGACACGGUCCAGACUCCUACGGGAGGCAGCAGUGGGAAUUUUGGACAAUGGGCGCAAGCCUGAUCCAGCCAUUCCGCGUGCAGGAUGAAGGCC